GUGUCAGCCGCCGCGGUAAUACGUAGGUGGCAAGCGUUGUCCGGAUUUACUGGGCGUAAAGGAUGUGUAGGCGGAUAUUUAAGUGAGAUGUGAAAUCCCCGGGCUUAACUUGGGGGCUGCAUUUCAAACUGGAUGUCUAGAGUGCAGGAGAGGAAAGCAGAAUUCCUAGUGUAGCGGUGAAAGUCGUAGGGAUUAGGAAGAAUAACAGGUGCGAAGGAGGUUUUAUGGAAUGUAACUGA
rnacentral:rRNA from 1 species